GUCCUAGCCGUAAACGAUGCAUACUUGGUGUAGCUGGACUCAACCCCGGCUGUGCCGUAGCAAACGCGUUAAGUAUGCCGCCUGGGGAGUACGCCCGCAAGGGUGAAACUCAAAAGAAUUGACGGGGACCCGCACAAGCAGUGGAGCAUGUGGUUUAAUUCGAUGCAACGCGAAGAACCUUACCCAGGCUUGACAUGCAGUAGACAGCGCCAGAAAUGGCGUCUUCCUUCGGGACUGCUGCACAGGUGCUGCAUGGCUGUCGU
rnacentral:rRNA from 1 species